GCUAAACAAUCUGCUGUAAGCAAUUCUAUUAUAAACCAUUGCAUGAAUAGAUGGAGUAUCCCAUCCCAUACACACCAACCCCCAGACUAAGAUGCCUUCCAGUGUGCAAGAGAAGGAAAAGAAAAAAAUAAAAAUAAAAUGUCCGCAACACCAAAUACAUCAACUACCAUCUUUACUCGAGACAAUAAGUAGAAGUAGGCACAGAGACCUCAAAAUACAUGUGGUGAAAUCCGUAAUACAAUCCACAUAUGUCAGGUAUCCAAAAGUCUUUUUGAAAUAUCUUUCUCUCCAUUUACCCAUUCUUUCUGGCUCCCUUAGCUUGCCCAUAUAUCUGCAUUACAAAUUAAAAAAUUAGGUAUGCUUGUGGUUCAAAGAUGAAAACAAAUACCUGAAGUCUUGGGUUGUAAAGCUUCGAAAGGAAAACAUCGUAUCAAGUUUAUAGUGCCCAAAAAAAAUCUUAAAAUGAUAAGGGAAUAGAAAUCGAAGGUGCCGAACAAUUAGAAUAAAAAAGUACAAUAGGAUGAUUAAUAACACAUAUAUGUAGGAAACAACAACUAAACCAAAACUUGGGCCACUCAAUCAAAUCAUUCCACCAAACAACAACAUAACACAUGACAGUGAGAAUAGUCUCCAUUGCUAGCUGCCCUAGCCGGUUUACAUCAAACUGUAUAUCCCUCGAGACAUGUUAAGAUCAACUGUGAAAUACAAACAAAAUAACCCUUAAACCCCUAGGUAGCUGCAGUCGGUCUUAUGCACAGACUCUGCAACUGGUCUCUAAUGUGUUAUAAUCAAACUCCGAUCCAAUGAGUCAUCAAAUCAUCAAAGUGCUAUACUCAAUGUUCCGUAGAUUACCACCAACACAAUACCAAAUCGUCGUUGCUUUGUUUAAGUCCAUAAUUACUCAUUUAAAGCAGCUUGGUUUAUGUAGAUUCCGAUCUCAUAAGAUAGUGAAAGAGAUAGAGACCAAGAUUUUCACUAUUAGAUCCGUUCCUAGAAAGGAAGGCCAUUGCUCCAGCAGUUCUUAGAUCGAAUUGCAGGUUGUGAGCAUUGCAUCCGAGUCAACUACAUCCUCCAACAAUUCACACCAAUUCAAUCUUAGAUGAGCACACUUUUUUAAGGGACAGUAUUCAUGCCUCAACGUCGAAGAUGUGAGCUGGUGUGAAGACUCCCCUACAAAGAGCUCCACAUAAAAAGAUUGAUCUCUUUUACCAUAUUUUACUAACGAACAUUUACACAAAGACUAUCCUAUUAUAUGAAAUGUCAUGCUCAUGAAGAGCAAAGAAAGCAAAAGAAAAAGUCACUGUUACCCAUAUAUUAAAAAUCUAAGAGCAAGAGCCCAAGAGUAAAUGCUGAAUAAUGUAUAAAUUUAUAUAUUAAAUAUACUUUACACAAAAAAAAAAAAAAAAACAUGUUUUGAUCAAUAAUCAAAUUAUUGUGUUACUGAUGUUUCUAACCUACUUAAAAGAAAGUCAUUGUUCAAUCAAAUCACUAAAUCAAUAAUUCAGAUAGGAUAACUAAACAGUCCAGUCUAUGCAUCAACUAUGUUAAUCCUUCACAUUACCAGCCCAAAGAGAAUCACCACUUCCCCAUAUUCCAAAACUACUUUUACUUGUGCAAUAUCGCAAAUCCAUUGUCAUGGUUCAUAACCUUAAGUGUAUAGUUACAAAAAAACUAAAUACUUGAAAUUCGUAGGUAAAUUGGUAAGCUUAAGUGUAUGAUCAAAGAGAAGAGGUCCUUUCUCAGGUGAUAAACCGUACUUCAAUAUUUUAUUGAAGGUUAUGUGUAUCGAUUGCGUUUUUUUGGCGUCAAAGUUUCUUUUACACACACAUCUCAGAAAUACUGAACGCUCCUCUUUGACCCUAUUAUUUCCAAGUGAUGGUUUCCUCAAAUGCUAGUCCUACUGUUCCAAAUGUUCAUAGAGAUAUUCCCAUUAUUCUUUCAACUUUUGUAAGUCAUGGUUCAAUAUAACCUUCUCUUUCAUGCAGAUGAUAAUACAUUACACUAUUUGUAUAAAAUUACCUGUGAAUAGCAGCAUUUCUGACAGGGUUUCAAAGUAUAAAGUCUUCACCAACAGAGCUCAGAAUAACAACAAUUUAUCCGUGUGUUGUCUCUGCAUCUGAAC
rnacentral:lncRNA from 1 species